GAAAUGCGAAAAGUAGUGUGAAUUGCAGAAUUCAGUGAAUCAUCGAAUCUUUGAACGCACAUUGCGCCCCUUGGUAUUCCGAGGGGCAUGCCUGUUCGAGCGUCAUUUGUACCCUCAAGCUUUGCUUGGUGUUGGGUGUUUGUCCACGCAUCUACUGCGUGGACUCGCCUUAAAACAAUUGGCAGCCGGCAUAUUGGUCUGGGAGCGCAGCACAUUUUGCGCUUUCCUUCCCGCAUGCUGGCGUCCAGAAGCCCUUUUUUCACUUUUGACCUCGGAUCAGGUAGGGAUACCCGCUGAACUUAA
rnacentral:misc_RNA from 1 species